rnacentral:rRNA from 1 species
AUUGAACGCUGGCGGCAGGCCUAACACAUGCAAGUCGAAUGGAAACAGGAAACAGCUUGUUGUUUCGCUGAAGAGUGGCGGACGGGUGAGAAAUGUCUGGGAAACAGCCUGAUGGAGGGGGAAAACUACUGGAAACGGUAGCAAAUACCGAAUAAAGUCGCAAGAGCAAAGAGGGGGACUUAAGGGCCUCUUGCCAUCAGAUGAGACCGGAUGGGAUUAGCUAGUAGGUGGGGUAACGGCUAACCUAGGAGACGAUCCAUAGCUGGUCUGAGAGGAUGACCAGCCACACUGGAACUGAGACACGGUCCAGACUCCUACGGGAGGCAGCAGUGGGGAAUAUUGCGCAAUGGGCGCAAGCCUGAUGCAGCCAUGCCGCGUGUAUGAUGAAGGCCUUCGGAUUGUAAAGUACUUUCAUCGGGGAGGAACGUAUUAAUGUUUAUACCUUUGCUCAUUGACGUUACCCGCUGAAAAAGCACCGGCUAACUCCGUG